CACCACGGUGACUUGUAAGCAACUCACUGUACUUUAAUAAUAAAUUAUCUGAAUUUCUAACUUAAUGACGGAAGAAUACUAGGUGCAGUCAAAUACUUAUCAAGUCGGUGUAUGAGUCAAGAUGGAAUUGAUCCCUCUAAAUUGAUAGGAGAUAUGCAUCAGUGUAUUUCAAUUUAGCAAAAUCUUGACUAGAAUAAUCCAUGGG
rnacentral:lncRNA from 1 species